rnacentral:lncRNA from 1 species
ACUCCACUUGAAGGAAGCUGUCUAAAUCCAUGUAAGAGAUCUCCUCGUAUUUUUUUCCCUCCCCCCUGAGGCUCUUCCUCCUCACCAGACACCUGUUCCAAGGAAGCUCCUGCAACAAGGGUGUGGGCUUGUGUCGUGAAGGUUGAGUAUCCAGAGUGACAGUGAAGAAUCCAUACUCCCACCAAGAGUGGAUUUCAGUGUGCCUGAGAGGAAGAA